rnacentral:lncRNA from 1 species
GCAGUGAUUAGGAUUAAGUACUAACUCAAAUCUAGUAAGUGUGUCGAAAAGAUUCAAAGAUGAAUCUCGGUAAGUUGUAAAGAUACAGAGUUCCCUAACUCUGGUAAUAAGGUUGAACAGAAGUGGUGAAUAGAUAAAGUCUAAAAGACUAAAAGUUCAGUGAUAGGAGAUCGUAAAACAAAACGAUCAUAGUCAUAUAAUUUAAUCGUAAUAUAUACGAUGAGAUCACCCCGUGAUCUGUUAAGGUUAUGACAGCCAGAAAGAAUCAAUCUAAUGAUUGAAAAGUUU